rnacentral:lncRNA from 1 species
UGAAGAAGAGGAAGAAGACACUGAAGAGUCAGAUGACGAUUUAGAAGUUGAUGGUAUUGAUAGUGAUGAUGAUGUCAACUUAGAAGAUGAUUCUGAAUGAUACAUUGUAAAGUAUAUCAUAUUUUUAUAUAUAUUCAUAGACUUAAUAUUUGAUUAUUAUUUUUUCUAUUGUUUGUCUUUAUUAUUAAUUAAAACUAAUGGACAAUUAUUUUUUCAGAUGCCUCAAAGAGCAGUAUCAUCUAGAGGUAGAGGACAUAGCCAGCAGCUCUCUAUGAAUGAAACAGAUAAUCCAACUACAGAUUGUACUUCUCUAUCAGAUGAUUCAACAAAUUCAUAGAUUAGUUUUUAGUUUUAUGAACAUUGUUAAGUAUUAUUGAUUUAUUUUAAAUUUUAUGACGAUUGUUAAGUAUUAUGAAUUUAUUUUAAAUUUUAUGAACAUUGUUAAAUAUUAUGGAUUUAUUUU